rnacentral:rRNA from 1 species
AUGAAAAUUAUCAGCUGGAACUACCGGGGGCUCCGGAAUGGCUCGGCAGUUCGGAGCCUCCUCGAUUUGGGGAGGGCGGAGGAUCCUGAUGUGCUUUUUCUAGCGAAGACAAGACUGACGAUAAAGGAGUUGGACUACCUAAGGUGGUCACUGGGGCUCGUUCACUUGCUUGCUUGGGACCCGGAGGGUAGAAGUAGAGGUAUUGCGAUGUUUUGGAGGAGGGGAGUGGAAUGA